UAGGCGUACGGGUGAGUAACACGUGGAUCAUCUACCUCUUAGUGGGGAAUAACUCUGGGAAACCGGAGCUAAUACCGCAUAAGCCUGGAAAGGGAAAGCAGCAAUGCGCUGAGAGAGGAGUCCGCGGCCGAUUAGCUAGUUGGCGGGGUAAAAGCCCACCAAGGCAUUGAUCGGUAGCCGGCCUGAGAGGGCACACGGCCACACUGGCACUGAAACACGGGCCAG
rnacentral:rRNA from 1 species